rfam:Sulfobacillus acidophilus TPY, complete genome.
GAAGACGCAUCGCAAGGGGCGUGUGACGCGAGAGACGUCAGCCGAGGUCAUCGUAGACUGGCGCGGCCGCGCCAGUUGAAGGAC